GUGUAGCUUAGUGGUAAAGCAUCUGCUUCCCAAGCAGACGACAGGAGUUCGAUUCUCCUUAC
rnacentral:tRNA from 1 species